rnacentral:rRNA from 1 species
AUUGAACGCUGGCGGCAGGCUUAAUACAUGCAAGUCGAACGAGUGGCGGACGGGGGAGUAAUGCUUGGGAAUCUAGCUUAUGGAGGGGUAUAACUACGGGAAACUGUAGCUAAUACCGCGUCCCAUAGGAGGAGCCCAAUUGGGAUUAGCUAGUAGGUGGGGUAAAGGCUCACCUCGGUGACAAUCUCUAGCUGGUCUGAGAGGAUGAUCCGCCACACUGGGACUGAGACACGGCCCAGACUCCGACGGGAGGCAGCAGUGGGGAAUAUUGCACAAUGUGCGAAAGCCUGAUGCAGCCACGCCGCUUGUAUGAAGAAGGCCUUAGGGGUGUAAAGUACUUUCAGCGGGGAGGCUUUACCCGCAGAAGAAGCACCGGCUAACUCCGUGCCAGCAGCCGCGGUAAUUC